rnacentral:sRNA from 1 species
GACCAACUCGGUGAUGAGCGCGUUAUGG